rnacentral:rRNA from 1 species
AGCUCCAAUAGCGUAUAUUAAAGUUGUUGCAGUUAAAAAGCUCGUAGUCGGAUUUCGGGUCGGGCCGAGCGGUCUGCCGAUGGGUAUGCACUGUUUGGCGCGGCCUUCUUUCCGGAGACCGCGGCUACUCUUAACUGAGCGGGCGUGGGAGACGGAUCGUUUACUUUGAAAAAAUCAGAGUGUUUCAAGCAGGCAGCUCGCUCUUGCAUGGAUUAGCAUGGAUAAUUGAAUAGGACUGCAUGGAUAAUUGCAUGGAUAAUUGAAUAGGACUCUGGUGCUAUUUUGUUGGUUUCGAACACCGGAGUAAUGAUUAACAGGGACAGUCAGGGGCACUCGUAUUCCGUCGAGAGAGGUGAAAUUCUCAGACCAAUGGAAGACGAACCACUGCGAAAGCAUUUGCCAGGGAUGUUUUCA